AGAGAUGGGUUCCUGUUCAUAGAAUUCCUUUGGCUGGGAUUGCAACCACUCUGUCACUGCAUUUUGAUUUCAUCAUUUGACUGAAAAUGCCUAUCUUUCAGCUCCUUCUCCAGCAGACCAAACAAAUUAUUACAUGAUGAUCAGUCUUAACAAGCUCAUCUGCAGCUGCUACAGUGGUUACAAUGUUUAUUUGACCUGAGUGUGCAUUAUCAUCCAAACUUUCAUGACCAUUUUUAAACUGUACAUAAAUAGUAGACUGAGAUUUAUGCACAGUUUUGUACGAACAUCAGUUAUUCGUGUAAACUGCAUACAAUCAACAGUGAAUUUCAGUAUGGCUAGAUCCUUCAGCUAUGUGACAGCAUAUCACCACUGCUCUUUUUUUUUCGAAGAAUUUGCAAUCACAAAUGCCAUUGUUUUCCAGCUGGAUGGAAAAUAAAUGUUUUGCC
rnacentral:lncRNA from 1 species